rnacentral:rRNA from 1 species
GACGUAGGGCGCGAGCGUUGUCCGGAUUUAUUGGGCGUAAAGAGCUCGUAGGCGGCUUGUUACGUCGACUGUGAAAACCCGCGGCUCAACCGCGGGCCUGCAGUCGAUACGGGCAGGCUAGAGUUCGGUAGGGGAGACUGGAAUUCCUGGUGUAGCGGUGAAAUUCGUAGAUAUUAGGAAGAACACCGGUGGCGAAGGCGGCCCACUGGUCCGGUACUGACGCUGAGGUGCGAAGCGUGGGAGCAAACAG